rnacentral:rRNA from 1 species
GCUCUGGUGGAAACUGGCGGACGGGUGAGUAACGCGUAGGGAUGUGCCUAUGAGUACGGAAUAACCGUUGGAAACGACGGCUAAUACCGUAUACGCCCCAAGGGGGAAAGCUCCGGCGCUCAUAGAGCAACCUGCGUCCGAUUAGCUUGUUGGUGAGGUAAUGGCUCACCAAGGCCGCGAUCGGUAGCUGGUCUGAGAGGAUGGUCAGCCACACUGGGACUGAGACACGGCCCAGACUCC